AUGAAAAACACAAUUAUGAUAACGAUCAAAUGAUGAAUUGUACUGCGAUGGUUCAUGGGUCAAAGAUGAAAUUGUGACACUAUUAAUUUUGACGGUCAAGCACCAUUUUGUGGAUGUAUUUUUUAAAUCGAGGUGAAUCCAGGUUUUUGUACCAGUCCGGUAAAGAGUUAUAUAAAUUAGUUAUUUGAUACGUAAAGGAUCUCUCGAAUAGAGUUGUAUUAUGAUAUGGAGGAGUAAGUAAAUAUUUCAAUCUUGGAUUAGUGCUGAACUUAAUUUUAUCAUACAGAUACUUGUUUUUUAAAUCUUAAAGAGUGGUCUAGUGUUAGUACAAUGUAUUAACCAGCAAUAUGUGUCUGUGCACUCGAUUGCAACAUACUUAGGUCCAUCAAGAGCUGCUGCCCCUCCGGUGUUUUACGCCAUUACAGGUUGUGACACUCACUAUAUCAGGGUUUUUCGGUCGGGGCAAACAUGCAAAAGGGCAGUGUCUCGCAUAUGGAAAGACCCGUGGCAAGUGUAACAAAAAAAUCACUUAUAAUACGCCGCACGCCAUGAAAUGCCGGGAAUGUCAAUUUCAGUUCGCGAUCGGCUAUUGUUGGCCUCGUUGUUGGCUUAUUGGCUAUCUCUCUCACAUUCACAUAUGUUGGAACACAUUUAGUGGCUGUAGGCUAAUUCUAUGGAAUAUUUAAUAUGAUCUAGGCAUACGUGCAUCACUUUAAUUGUAAGUGUAUAGGAUACAAAAUAUUGUGUGCACCACGGCACGAAAGUUG